UCCUCCCAGCGCCGCCAGGUCGGUGUCGAGGAGCUCCCGAUUGAAUCCUCCUCUCCCAACUCGUGGUAGAAAUCCAUCCCGAGCGAUGCAGCGGCGGCGCGACUUGGAGGCGAAGUCGAGCCACCGCAUCUCCAUCGCCCUCCCCCCACGGCGGAAGCCUCCUGCCGUUCACCUGGAGCAUGGAAAGGUCGAUCACCUUGGCCACUUCCUAAAAAAAGUUCACCAUCAAGGAAAGGCUGCACAUCGUCACUCUAGUCUAAAAAAAAAAGCUCACCUCUCAGGUUAAGCUGGUUUCACGCACAAAGGAGGCACAAGAUGGAGAUUUCACAUGUGUUUGUCGUCUAGAAACUCUAAGAUAUAUAUAUUUGAAAUCUUAUUGUUUUCUUGGAUGAGUUUUGUUUUAUUUAAUGCCUGAAGUUGUUGACUAUUAAUCAAAUAGCAACAAUAUUUUGCCCUAAAGACUGCUUGUUAUGUAGAAACUAUGCAAGCCCUGUAAUUCAUUGGCGUGAUAACAUUAUUAUUUUAUUCCUAAUAUUCUAGUAAUAUCAGCUAGUAUU